CAGCCGCCGCGGGAAUACGUAGGUGACAAGCGUUGUCCGGAAUUAUUGGGCGUAAAGGGAGCGCAGGCGGUUGGAAUAGUCUGAUGUGAAAGCCCACGGCUUAACCGUGGAAGGUCAUUGGAAACUGUCCAACUUGAAUGCAGAAGAGGUAAGUGGAAUUCCAUGUGUAGCGGUGAAAUGCGUAGAUAUAUGGAGGAACACCAGUGGCGAAGGCGACUUACUGGUCUGUAAUUGACGCUGAGGCUCGAAAGCGUGGGUAGCGAACAGGAUUAGAUACCCGCGUAGUCCCUGUCUCUUAUAC
rnacentral:rRNA from 1 species